AAACGAACUUCGGGUUAGUGGCGGACGGGUGAGUAACGCGUGAGAAUCUGCCCUCAGGAGGGGGACAACAGUUGGAAACGACUGCUAAUACCCCAUAUGCCGCGAGGUGAAAUGAAUUUCGCCUGAGGAUGAGCUCGCGUCUGAUUAGCUAGUUGGUGUAGGUAAUGGCUCACCAAGGCAUCGAUCAGUAGCUGGUCUGAGAGGAUGAUCAGCCACACUGGGACUGAGACACGGCCCAGACUCCUACGGGAGGCAGCAGUGGGGAAUUUUCCGCAAUGGGCGAAAGCCUGACGGAGCAACGCCGCGUGAGGGAUGAAGGCCUCUGGGCUGUAAACCUCUUUUAUCAAGGAAGAAGAUCUGACGGUACUUGAUGAAUAAGCCACGGCUAAUUCCGUGCCAGCAGCCGCGGUAAUACGGGAGUGGCAAGCGUUAUCCGGAAUUAUUGGGCGUAAAGCGUCCGCAGGCGGCCCUUCAAGUCUGCUGUUAAAAAGUGGAGCUUAACUCCAUCAUGGCAGUGGAAACUGU
rnacentral:rRNA from 1 species